AGUGAACGCUGGCGGUAGGCCUAACACAUGCAAGUCGAACGGCAGCACAGUAAGAGCUUGCUCUUACGGGUGGCGAGUGGCGGACGGGUGAGGAAUACAUCGGAAUCUACUUUUUCGUGGGGGAUAACGUAGGGAAACUUACGCUAAUACCGCAUACGACCUACGGGUGAAAGCAGGGGAUCUUCGGACCUUGCGCGAUUGAAUGAGCCGAUGUCGGAUUAGCUAGUUGGCGGGGUAAAGGCCCACCAAGGCGACGAUCCGUAGCUGGUCUGAGAGGAUGAUCAGCCACACUGGAACUGAGACACGGUCCAGAUUCCUACGGGAGGCAGCAGUAGGGAAUAUUGGACAAUGGGCGAAAGCCUGAUCCAGCCAUACCGCGUGAGUGAAGAAGGCCUUCGGGUUGUAAAGCCCUUUUAUUGGGAAAGAAAAGCAGCAGAUUAAUACCCGGCUGUUCUGACGGUACCCAAAGAGUAAGCACCGGCUAACUUCGCG
rnacentral:rRNA from 1 species